CACAUACACUCACACACCCCGUCCCUUUCCCUCCUCGCAGAAGCCGAGGAGAUGCCAUGUGAGGGUGCAGCGAGGAGUUGGGCUGUCUAAAAGCAAAGAAAGAGAUUGCAUCAGACACCGCAUCUGCUGACACCUUGUUCUUGGACUUCCAGCUUCCAAAACCGCGAGAAAUAAAUGUCUGUGUCUAAACCCCAACCCUACCACCUCAACUGCCGUGUGUGGUGUUUUGUGAUGGCAGCCCCAGCUGACUGAGACACCUGGUUAGACCGGAAUAAGCAGGCUGCAAUCGGUAGCAGUCACCAUUGAACAUCCUUGAAGCAAUUCUUCCAAAAUUACCUUGCAUCAAAGACUGCACAAGAACUGCUCUAAGCGGAAGGACUGAUGUCGGCAACCAGGGUUCCACCAGGGGCUGCAGACAGCCCUUGACCUUCAGGUGGGAAGGUGUCACUGAGUUCAGACCCUCUGGCAAUCCCUAGCUAUCAACAUUUUGAUAAGAAAAUAAGUGGAAAGGUAAAAUUAGACAAAGACAUUAUUACCUUAGAGGACAAUUAAGCAUUGGUGGCUAAUCUAAACAUAUCCUUACAAUUUUUAUUUUAGUACUAGCUAUGAUUUAUUGUAGGUUUUCCAUCUGUGCCAGGCACUAACAGCACUAUGAAUUGCCUAUACCACGCUACAAUCACCAGAUUUUUCUCUUUUAUUAUUACCACUUAUAGAUCAGGACAUUGAAACUCAUUUGCCCAAAGUAUGCCAAUGGAAAUUGGUGGAGCCAGGUUCUAACCCAAAUAUCUAGGUCUUAAGUGAUUACUUUUAACCACUGUACUGCAAUUUACUACUGGGAGGAGGAAUAAUAAUAUCUAUACUUGAUUGAUUAAUGCCUACAUACUAAUCACUUUACUAAGCUCUUUUUUAAAUGUUUCAUUUCAUUUGUAAUUGACACAUAGCAAUUGUACAUAUUUAUGGGGUUCAGUGUGAUGUUUCAGUGCAUGGAUAUAUUGUAUAAUGAUCAAUUAGGGUAAUCAGCAUAUCUAUCACUUUAAACAUUUAUCCUUUCU
rnacentral:lncRNA from 1 species